UAUGUUUUAAAGCAUGCAUACCUCAAAUCUACAUUUAAAAGUAAAUAUUUGCCAAAGUGGUCAUAAAAAGGUAUACUCCAACAGUGAAUUAGAUUUCUCUUGGUUCCUUACUGGCAUAUUGGUCAUACCUUAAGUUUUUGUUGCCAUACUUUUGAUGAAGCUAAAUAUCUUAUCACAUGUCUAGCAGACAUUUAUUUUUCCAUUCAGGAAUGCAUAAAAUAUGCUCAAAUUUUUAAUCACUUUUCUUUUUUUAAGUUGUCACAGAACUUAUAAUUAUGUGUACUCAGAUAUUAAUUCUACCCUGAUCAUGUGUGUUGCAAAUAUACGCUCAAAGUUUGUAGCUUGUAUUUUCUUUUCUUUUUCUUUUUUUUGACUUUUUUUUAUUCUUUUUUUUUAUUAUUGUUGGGGAUUCAUUGAGGGUACAGUAAGUCAGGUUACAUUGAUUGCAAUUGUUAGGCAAUGUCCCUCUUGCAAUCAUGUCUUGCCCCCUGUAGCUUGUAUUUUCAUUAUUAAUGUAUCUUUCAGUGAACAAUGUAUAAAAGUUUUUCCUUAAUGGGUGAUGCUGUUUGGUUUUUUGCUUGUUUGUUUGAGACAGAGUCUCACUUUGUUGCUCUAGAUAGACUACUGUGGUGUUAUAGCUCACAGAAGCCUCAAAUUCUUGGGCUGAAGUGAUCCUCUUGCCUCAGCCUCCCAAGAAGCUGGGGAUACAGGCACCUGCCACAACACCCAGCUUUUUUAGAAACAGGGCCUCACUCUUGCUCAGGGCUGGUCUUGAACUCCUGAGCUCAAGCGAUCCACCCACCUCAGCCUCCCAGAGUGUUAGGAUUACAGGCAUGAGCCACAGUGCCCCACCUGGAUGAUGCUAUUUGAAUCUUGUUUACAAAAUCCUUCUCUAUGCAAAAACAAGGAAGUUAUUCUACUACGUGUUUGCCCCAAAAGUUUAACAUUUUCCUUUUGCAUUUAGAUUCUUAAAUUAUGGCCUUAACAUUUGCGUAUGGUAUGCGAUCGGAAUAGAAUUUAAUUAUUUUCUGUGUGACUAAUCAGUAGCUUCAGAAGCUUUCCCCACUGAUCUGUGUGGCCAAAUCUAUCAUGAAUUAUAUAUUCUAUAUAUUUGAAGCCUGUUCUAUUCCUGAUUUAUAGCCAUGCUAUAUAAAAUUAAUUUAUGAGCUUUAGUGUCUUUCUAUCUGAUGACAGCAGUCCUUUGCCUUCAUCCUUCUGUUAGCUAUCCACCUGUUCUAUCCUUGUGGUCCUCUUUCUCCCCUACUUCCCUAACUUAUUCUUCUCUCAUGUAUCUAAUUUCCUCUUUUUCUCCUUCUUCUCAGCACUCCUUCUUUUCUCUUCUCUUCUUACAGUUCCCCCUCUGCCUUUUCUCCCUUUCUCUCUCUCUCACUUUGUCUUCAUUCCAAUCUUACCAUUCCCCUCUUUAUUCUUGAAACGACUAAUAAUCAUGUGAAUCUCAAAUGAGCUGUAGCUGAGUGUGGGAGAUAAAAAUGAGAGUGAGGAUUUAAGUUGAGGGAGAAGUUCACUUAUUCUUCCUGAAAGAAUACAUUCCAAAGGGGAGAUAAACAGGGAUCCAGAAAUGAUUCCUAUAGGAGAUGGCAUACGAGUCAAGACUUAAAACGACAUCUAGAUUUCACAGUGCACUUCUUCAAGGACAAGGCCUUCCCAGUGUGGGGUAUACAUUGAAAAAAGUACGGAAUGUACACAUGUGGAUGAUAGCUGGCAUGCAGUGAGCAGCCCAUUUCAGAGAGUGCAGAGGGUGCACAUGGUGAGGAGUCUUAAGUCGGUAAAGGAGAGUGACCUUGGUAACCUUUCCUUGUGAGCCAUUGAAGAACCACGAGAAGUUAUAGGGAAGCUACAUGACAGCGGUGUGUUAGAUAAGGCAAAGAUGUGAAGUGGGAUCCAGGAGACUUUGAAAUGGCAUUGGCAUAGUUUAGUCCAAAGGUUGCAAGGGCAUAUACUGGGAUCUUGGCAGCAGGAAUUAAAGUACACAUGAUGGACAUCUAUGAGGGUCUUUGCAAAAGGAGAAUCAGCCAGACCUGAGGACCAUGGGCUGUGAGAACAGGGAUGAGAUCAAAAGUAACACGGAAGCUUUGAUCAUGGAAUACCAGGAGGUUACAGAUCCCACUUACCAGGACUAUCUGAGAAUGCACAAUAGUGAUUGAAAAUUGCAAAUUUGGUCCCUCAGAGGAACAGCUGAUGCCAUACAUUUUGGUUUGGAGGCUAUAUAUGAAAAAGUAAUAGCUGCAGCUGUGAGUUCAUGGAAUCAAUAAAUGAGAUAGGAUAUUGAGAGAGAUGUGUGACUAUGUUUAAGGUACAGAAAAUGGAAAGGGCAGCUAAGGAAGGAGAGAGGAGAAUGUAGAUGUGUAUGAAAGUGCAAGUCUGGACACUAUGGUGUAAAGGAAGCUAAGAAACAAUUCACCUCAUCCUUGAAUUGGCCAAAAUUGGAGUCAUCAUCCUACAAUUAUUAAUAGGCCAACAGAGCCCAUUGCCCUGGGGAAAAUCCGUGUCCACCUUCUAGAUCCAAAACCCUUAGAACACUCAAUAUCCCCAAGACAUUAAGGAAAAGGCAGAGGGCUGCUGACGUCUGUAGGCCCAGGUUGGUGGAGGACUGGGAUGGGGAAAUUAGUGCUUAUUGUGUCACAUGCUGAGAUGUUGAGCAGUGUGAGGACUGCUUGCAAUCACUAAGUUUGGUAAUGCAGAGUUUAUCAUUCAGUUUGGAAAGACUAGUUUCAGGAGAGGGUUAGAGGAUAGAUAUCAGAUUUCAAAGAUUUUGAGAGCAAGUAACAAAUGAGGAAAGAUAGCUGAUUUACUCUAUAGCUUUGAGAAUUAAAAAGAUUAGGAAGGAGUUCUGAUAGGUCAAGGGGCUUCAGGGAAGGGAAAAAUAAGGCAUUGCUUUUACUAUGGGGAAGAACUUGUUUGUGGUACAGAAAAAUAAAAGACAGAGAAUGGAUCUGAAGAAGCAGAAGUGGAUGAAAGCCUGGAGUUAGUCUGAGUUCAUAGAACCUAGAAUACAAGGAGAGAGGCAUUGUGUGGGGAAAAAAGGAUGAGUGAGACCUCCUACUUUGAGGAAAAAAGGAGGUCUGAAGAAAUUAAGAUAAAGAGGGAUUUCAAGAUAGAAAAAAGCCUGCCAAGGAAACACGAUGAAUCAUCUUGCUCUCUGAGAAGCAGAAGGAGGAGUCAGCUGCUUAGAGCAUGAAGGGGCCGAAUGGACUCAAGACUGAGAAUCACACGGGACCACAAACAAAUAGCUUUGCAAGAGAUGAUUAAGAUUUCAUCACCGAUCUGUAGCAGAAUCCAUAGUAACCUAUCUGUUUAUCUUUUACUUGUGCACCACAGAGAUAUUGCCUGUUCAGUUCUAGAGCAACUCAAGAAACAGAGUCACAAUUGCUUGAGUUUCCCGUUGCAUGUACAAGUUAUGCUUACACUGCAGUCUGGUAUAUUCUACAGUCUGUUAAGUGCACAAAAGAGUUAAGUCUAAAACAAAGGCACACACCUUAAUUAGAAAAUAAUUUACUGCUAAAAAUGCUGACACAGAUUCUGGAAGUGAACUCAUGUUAUUGGAAAAAUGGUGCUAAUAGAUUUGCUUGACACAGGGUUACCACAAAACCAAACCUUAGAUUUAUAAAAUGGGCAAUAUCUGCAAAGCACGAUACAAUGGCACACAAUAAAAUGAAGUAUGCCUGCAUGAUGACUGCCCCUUGGUGUUAGUGUUAGGGUUUGAGUAAUUUCAGAUUUACUUUCCUGAUAUUAGCCCUGAAUAGUUGAGAGAAAGAUUUUCAUUUUCUGUCUUACUACUUAAAAAAAUAUGUUAAUAGGCAAAAAUAGAAAUCAAAGCCAUCCCUUUCUUUGUGUGUGUGUGAAAUUACAGAGCACACGUUUAAAAACCAAGUUUUUCUUUACAGGCAAACCUAAAUCUUGAGGGGUAUAAAAAAAGGUUUCAUAUGGGAGGCUGGAUUUUUAGGCUAAUGAAUGCAACUCUAUUUUUGAUACUAUGCUGUGUGUUUAUAUAAAAUAGAGGAGCAUUUUAGGCCAAUUAGUGGCUUGCAAACCCUAUACUUUUUCCAGCAAGGGCUAAGCCUGACAAACUUGAGAAGUUAACACAGAAAAGUGUUGGCAGUGGACCAUGCGGUUGGCCUGACUCAAGGCAACAAAGCUUUAGCAUAAAUUAGUUUUUAUUUGUUAAAAGAAAAACAAAUUCUGUUUGUUUUUGCAAUACAGUUUGUUGGUUCUUUUAAUAUAGGGGAAAAUUUGGGGAAUUCCAGUUCUCAGAGAAGUGAGAAGCUGAGCUCGACAGGAGCCAGGUCCCAGCUCACAGGCCCUGUGUAAACACCCACAUGCGUCUUCCUCAAUACACCUCGGUCUGAGGCAGUAGGGCGGGCCUGUUAUGCCUGGACCUCAGCUGAACCAAGAGUGCCAGCCAGCGCAUGAUUACUGUGGGAUCCACAGUAGAUUAUUCAGACCACCAAAAGGGCGCCAUGUGGCUCUCUUUAACCCUGACUUUUAUGUAGUGGAUACGGAAAGCAAGAUUUAGAGAAAGGUAUUACUUCAAUGGAAUCUAGAGGUCAUCUCAUCUUUCCCUUAGUUUUGUAGGUAAGAACAGUGAAGACCAGGCAUAGAAUUUGGCUUAGUCAAAGGAGCAGACUGGUAUAAUCACUGACACACUCAAUUCUCAAGUCAAAGAUCCUUUAAUGUAAACUGUACAAUACAAACUGCACAAUCAGCUGGCUGUGUGAAGAGCGCUGGAGGAAAUGAGAGUCACUUUAAAAAAAAAAAAAAACCCUGCAUAGAAAAAAUGACAUAGAUGAAAAUCAAAUGACUUGUAGCCCAGCUAAGGGUAAAAUCUUCUAAGUUCAGAAUUUCUGUGAUCAUUUUACACUUCACUCAAUAGCAUAAACAUAGGUCUCAGCUGCAAUUCCCAGCUGAAAAGGAGCUUGGUGUGCCUGGGGAAACUUGCUGUGACUGUUGCUACACAGUGGGUAGAAUUUCCAGAUUUGAGGUUCAGCGUUUCCGUGAGAAGGCUGUAACUAGUGGGAGUUCACAUGCACCAUGCAUUUGAUACCCAAAACUGUGAAGUACUGUGGCAGAAAGGAUGCGUUGUCCCCAAUUUUCUUUUGCUAUAGCAAUAGAAUCCUGAUUUUGACAUGGGAACUAAUACAGGCCACAUAUUCCAACUUUCUUUGCUGCUAGGCGAGACCACGUAGAUAAAUUCUGGCCAGUAGGAUGAACACCAAGGUUAUGAGAUCUAGGUGGAGUCAAGAUAUAGGAGACACAGGUUCUAUGUCACACCCACAGCAGGAAACAGCGCACUCCCUUCUCCUGUCUACUCCCCCUCACGGGAACGAUGCUGGUCUUAAGAAACUUUGUUCAAAGUCAUUUAGGUGGAUUAAUGAAUAAUAAAUGCAAAAGAUUAUCAUUACUAUGAAGGUAAGGGAUUGCAUGACCUUGGGCACAUUAUUUAAUCACUCUGUUUCUUCAAUUGAAGUUUGAGAUUUCUAAUAAUUGAGGGAGAUAGAUAUUAGAAGGAAUAUAUAUAAAACAGUGAUCACCAUGUUGUCACAUUCACUAUUCACUAUCUAUAUAUUAGAAGGAAUAUAUAGAAAAUGAUGAUUACCAUGUUGUCAAUAUUCACAGCCAGGCGAGAGGACUGGAAGGCAAAGACACAGAGGCCACGGAUGUGACGGGAUGACAAGGCGGCAGCAGAUGGCCUUCCUCUUUUUCAUGAGGCUGCUAUGGGGCAUUCCUCACCGAGCAGGACAGGGCUCUGUGGUUACUGCUGGAACUCUUUGUCCUGAGUUAACAGUAACAGGAAGAGUGACUCAACAUCCAGCCUCAAAGGAUGGAGAAGCUGAGUCUGGUUUGGAACUUCCUUUCUCAAGUCAGGGCUGGCCUGGGAACUGGAUGAGUAGAAUUGAGUGUUAGUGUGAUCCACGGAGACCAAGGGGCUAGUGAGGGCAGGGCGGAUGGGAAAAAAGCCCAAAGCAAUGCAAGGAUUCUGAUAACGAGGAUGUUUAUUAGCCUGAUGAUUUGAGCUGUUUUAAUAGUCAGUAGGCCUAAACUUGAAUCCCAGAUCUACUCCUGAUAACAACUGUUAUAGGUACAAAUUUUUACAUCAUGUAAAUGGGAGUAAUAGCUACCUUUUGAGGACUGUUAAUAAUAGCCGUCAUCUACUGAGUUCUUAUGAGGGAUCCAUCACUCUUGCAUACAGUUUUUGCAUAUUAUUUUAGGUAAUCUUCACAACAACAUUGAGGGUAGGAACUCUCAUGAUUUCCAGGUUACAGAAAAGAAAACUGGGGUCUAGAGAGGUCAGAACACAGGUUUAUAAUCAAAAUCUACUUCUCAACUGCUUUCCCAUUCAAGAACAAAUGAGAAAACGUAAGUACGUAACACAGUGCUUGGCUUAUUGCCGUGAAUAAAUGGUAAUGUCGUAAUAUUAUCUCAAUUUUAGAGAUGAACAACAUAAAGGUAAGAGCAGCUGAGUGACUUUCCCUAAAUCACGUGACUGCAUUGCUCAAAGGAUGCUUAAGCUUUUAACUCCACAGGGUUUCCCUACCCCUGCAUUCUGCCAAGCACCAAAAGGGUGAAAGCAGUUUGGCAGCAGCCACCUUAUCCAGAACUGAGUAAUCAUGCUCCAGUAAUUCUCAGGGGGUCACGCCUGAACUCUCAGGACAUGGCCUUAUCCUUCUCAGACAGGAUGUGCGUGGUGCCAGACGCAUCUUAAACACAGCAGCCACCAGCCGCCCUCAUCCCACGACUACUGCUCAGCCUCCUUUCCAAAGACGCAGGCGCCUGGAAUGCUCUCGUCACGUGACCAAUCGCUCACUUAUGUUUGUGAAGUUUCUCAGCCAAGAGGAAAACCAUUAGGUAUCAAAUUGCAAGUAGAGAGCAUCCAAGAAGCUGCCUAUUCCAGCGCCAGCUCCUGCCAGAGAACCUUAAAUAAACUCGGUGCAGGGAAGAUGUCUGAAUUUACUCUGUGUGCAGUAUAUUUAGCUUGUUAGAUUAAUACAUAGAACUUUAUUUCGUCGAAUUAAUUAGCUUGAGUCCUAAAAGCAGACAAAACAAAUGGGCUGUUUUGUUUUUCUUUUUCCCUUCUCAUUUCCUUUGUGGGUUUCUUUUGGGUUAGUUAAUGCACUACUUAGGAUAAAAGAAAAAUCUAUGUAAAGAGUUAAGUAGCUCUGUAUUUAUUUGUAUUUUUAGCCAAAGGUGAAGGUAAAGUCAAGCAAUUUCUCUAAUGAUCAAUCGCUAGACACAGCAGUCACCUGGAUAGAAAAGAAGGCUUGAAGACAUAAGAGGAAAAGAUCAAUAUGCUUUAAAAACUAUAAUUAAAUACUUAAAAGUUUGUCUUUUUUUUUAAAGGCUAUUAUUUCCAUAUAAUAGAUCCAGAAUGAAAGUGAGCGGUUAUAUUCCUCAUUUGAAAAAGAAGCCUAAGAAGGCAGAACCUCCUUAUGUUUUGCAUGACUUAAUGAAUUUCAUGCCGCCUGACUUUCUCAUCACAAGGGGCAUUAAUAUAAAUGACUCUCUCCAAGCAACAGACGCUGGAGGCGGAAGCUCGGCUCUCCAGAGUCCCCCCUGAGGAAGGAGAGUGUGAGCGGCUUCCCUGCACAUCCUGAUUCUGAAUGCUUGAAAUGGGAGCGGGUGGACCAGGAAGAGGAGAAGAAAGAUCACAUGGGGUACAAAGGAACUUACAAUGCACGAUGCGCAGAUACAGGAACUUACAUUGUACAAAUGCAAAGAAACAGACAGACACAGAGGAAGAAGACCAGCAGCCCACUAGCCCAGGGGCGGCGGUUUCCUACAAUGGAAACAAGACUGUAAAUGUAGCACAGAGGUGGCAAGUGUUCAGACUGCUGAUAAGAUUUGUCAAGCCAGCUAAUAUAAAUAUUUGAGUUUGCCAACUCCAGCUCUUGAAUGGUUUGGGGAAGACCCUGAAGUCAGCAUAUUUAGAGGCAUAAAAAUGAUCAGUCCAGCAGAGAUGAGCUUGGGAUUCAAGGAAAAGAAUGUACGACACCAAGACUACAACUAACAUGAAGACAGAACUGACUUCUAAUAAGAAAAUAUUGUUAGAGUUAUCAUCACAGUUUCAAUUUAUUUAAGAUUACAAACACAACAUGUAUGCAUGCUUAUUUUUCUGAAAUCUACACUUCUUAAAUUAUCUUUAUUAAAGAUGUGUUUAAU